UUCAUAUGGUGGCAAGACGUGGUGGCUCAUGCCUGUAAUCCCACCACUUUGGGAGGCCAAGGUGGGCAGAUCACUUGAGAUCAGGAGUUCUAUUGGGGGAAACCCCACCCCCGAUAUUCAACAUGGGUUUUUUUCGAUUUCCCUAAGUGUUGGCUAGUCUGAGAAAUAAAGGGAAAGAGUACAAAAGAGAGAAAUUUUAAAGCUGGGUGUCUGGGGGAGACAUCACAUCUCAGCAGGUUCCGUGAUGCUCCCUGAGCCAUAAAACCAGCAAGUUUUUAUUAGUGAUUUUCAAAAGGGAAGAGAGUGUAUGAAUAGGGUGUGGGUCACAGAGAUCACAUGCUUCACAAGGUAAUAAAAUAUCACAAAGCAAAUAGAGGCAGGGUGAGAUCACAGGAGGGGGUGAAAUUAAAAUUGCUAAUGAAGUUUCGGGCACGCAUUGUCAUUGAUAACAUCAGGAGACAGGGUUUGAGAGCAGAUAACCUGUCUGACCAAAAUUUAUUAGGUGGGAAUUUCCUCAUCCUAAUAAGCCUGGGAGUGCUACAGGAGACCAGGGCUUAUUUCAUCCCUUUGGCUUCAACCGCAAAAGACAGCCACCCCUAAAGCGGCCAUUUCAGAGGCCUGCCCUCAGGGGCCAUUCUCUUUCUCAGGGAUGUUCCUUGCUGAGAAAAAGAAUUCAGCUAUAUUUCUCCUAUUUGCUUUUGAAAGAAGAGAAAUAUGGCUCUGUUCUGUCUGGCUCACCAGCAGUCAGAGUUUAAGGUUAUCUCCCUUGUUUCCUGAACAUUACUGUUAUCCUGUUCUUUUUUCAAGGUGCCCAGAUUUCAUAUUGUUCAAGCACACAUGCUCUACAAACAAUUUGUGCAGUUAGUGCAAUCAUCACAGGAUCCUGAGGUGACAUACAUCCUCCUCAGCUAAUGAAGAUGAUGGGAUUAAGAGAUUAAAGUAAAGACAGACAUAGGAAGUCACAAGGGUAUUGAUUGGGGAAGUGAUAAGUGUCCAUGAAAUCUUCACAAUUUAUGUUCAGAGAUUGCAGUAAAGACAGGCAUAAGAAAUUAUAAAAGUAUUAACUUGGGGAACUAAUAAAUGUCCAUGAAAUCUUCACAAUUUAUGUUCUUCUGCCACGGCUUCAGCCAGUCCCUCCGUUCGGGGUCCCUGACUUGCUGCAACAGAGUUCAAGACCAGCCUCACCAACAUGUUGAAACCCUGUCUCUACCAAAAAAUACAAGAAGUAGCCCGGCAUGGUACUGCACACCUGUAGUCCCAGCUAGUCUGGAGGCUGAGGUGGGAGAAUCACUUGAACCUGGGAGGCCGAGGUUGCAGUGAGCCAACUUCACACCACUGCACUCCAGUGUGGGCAGCAGAGUGAGACCCUGUCUCUAGAUUAAAUAAAUAAAUAGAUGAAUAAAUUUUAUACAGAACAAUAAAAGGCUUAAAUAGCCAAAGCGAUCCUUGGCAAAAAGAACAAAGCAGGAGGUGUCACAGUACCCAAUUUCAAACAAUACUGCAAGGCUACAGU
rnacentral:lncRNA from 1 species